GCUAAUACAUGCAAGUCGAGCGGACAGAAGGGAGCUUGCUCCCGGAUGUUAGCGGCGGACGGGUGAGUAACACGUGGGUAACCUGCCUGUAAGACUGGGAUAACUCCGGGAAACCGGAGCUAAUACCGGAUAGUUCCUUGAACCGCAUGGUUCAAGGAUGAAAGACGGUUUCGGCUGUCACUUACAGAUGGACCCGCGGCGCAUUAGCUAGUUGGUGGGGUAAUGGCUCACCAAGGCGACGAUGCGUAGCCGACCUGAGAGGGUGAUCGGCCACACUGGGACUGAGACACGGCCCAGACUCCUACGGGAGGCAGCAGUAGGGAAUCUUCCGCAAUGGACGAAAGUCUGACGGAGCAACGCCGCGUGAGUGAUGAAGGUUUUCGGAUCGUAAAGCUCUGUUGUUAGGGAAGAACAAGUGCGAGAGUAACUGCUCGCACCUUGACGGUACCUAACCAGAAAGCCACGGCUAACUACGUGCCAGCAGCCGCGGUAAUACGUAGGUGGCAAGCGUUGUCCGGAAUUAUUGGGCGUAAAGGGCUCGCAGGCGGUUUCUUAAGUCUGAUGUGAAAGCCCCCGGCUCAACCGGGGAGGGUCAUUGGAAACUGGGAAACUUGAGUGCAGAAGAGGAGAGUGGAAUUCCACGUGUAGCGGUGAAAUGCGUAGAGAUGUGGAGGAACACCAGUGGCGAAGGCGACUCUCUGGUCUGUAACUGACGCUGAGGAGCGAAAGCGUGGGGAGCGAACAGGAUUAGAUACCCUGGUAGUCCACGCCGUAACGAUGAGUGCUAAGUGUUUAGGGGGUUUUCCGCCCCCUUAGUGCUGCAGCCUAACUCAUUAAGCACUUCCGCCUGGGAAGUUA
rnacentral:rRNA from 1 species